rnacentral:rRNA from 1 species
AUUGAACGCUGGCGGCAGGCCUAACACAUGCAAGUCGAGCGAGCGGCGGACGGGUGUGUAAUGUAUGGGGACUGCACGAUAGAGGGGGAUAACUCCUGGAGACGGUAGCUCAUACCGCAUACUAUCGGAUAACCCAUAUGGGAGUGGCUAGUAGGUGAGGUAAUGUCGCACCUAGGCGACGCUCCCUAGCUGGUCUGAGAGGAUGAUCAGCCACACUGGGACUGAGACACGGACCAGACUCCUACGGAGGCAGCAGUGGGGAAUAUUGCACAAUGGGCGCAAGCCGGAUGCAGCCAUGCCGCGUGUAUGAAGAAGGCCCUAGGGUUGUAAAGUACUUUCAGUCGGGAGGCGUUACCGACAGAAGAAGCACCGGCUAACUCCGUGCCAGCAGCCGCGGUAAUUC